rnacentral:misc_RNA from 1 species
GAGAUCCCAAGCCUUCUGGCGAUCUGUUCAUGUUAAGCCUUGAACGGGCUUAAGGGAAAUGCCCUAUUUGAGGUGUUUGCUAUUUGUCAGAUUGUACCGGGGAAGGUUUUUCCGGUUUAGCCCGGAGGGCUUGUAGCUCAGUUGGUUAGAGCGCGCGCUUGAUAAGCGUGAGGUCGGAGGUUCAAGUCCUCCCAGGCCCACCAGUUUAUAAUUUCUGAUCUGUGUUUUGAUUGGUUUUAUAACUGUUUAUAGGAUGUUGUGAACUUAUGAGAGUAGAACGCAGUCUUCUAAUAAAAGUCUGGGAAAAAGUUCUGAGGGAUUAGAACCGUUUGUUUAAGUUCAGAAAUUAAAGGAUUGUUUCCUUUUCGAAAUCCUGAAUUAGGGGCCGUAGCUCAGCUGGGAGAGCACCUGCUUUGCAAGCAGGG